ACGGGGGGAGCAAGCGUUGUUCGGAUUUACUGGGCGUAAAGGGCGCGUAGGCGGCCUCCGCAAGUCAGUUGUGAAAUCUCCGAGCUUAACUCGGAAAGGUCAACUGAUACUGCGGGGCUAGAGUCCGGUAGGGGAGCGUGGAAUUCCUGGUGUAGCGGUGAAAUGCGCAGAUAUCAGGAGGAACACCAGCGGCGAAGGCGGCGCUCUGGGCCGGAACUGACGCUGAGGAGCGAAAGCGUGGGUAGCAAACAGGA
rnacentral:rRNA from 1 species